GACGUAGGGCGCGAGCGUUGUCCGGAUUUAUUGGGCGUAAAGAGCUCGUAGGCGGCUUGUCGCGUCGUCCGUGAAAACCUGCAGCUCAACUGCAGGCUUGCGGUCGAUACGGGCAGGCUGGAGUUCGGUAGGGGAGACUGGAAUUCCUGGUGUAGCGGUGAAAUGCGCAGAUAUCAGGAGGAACACCGGUGGCGAAGGCGGGCCUCUGGGCCGAUACUGACGCUGAGGAGCGAAAGCGUGGGGAGCGAACAGG
rnacentral:rRNA from 1 species